rnacentral:rRNA from 1 species
AUUGAACGCUGGCGGCAGGCUUAACACAUGCAAGUCGAGCGGAGAUGAGGUGCUUGCACCUUAUCUUAGCGGCGGACGGGUGAGUAAUGCUUAGGAAUCUGCCUAUUAGUGGGGGACAACAUUCCGAAAGGAAUGCUAAUACCGCAUACGUCCUACGGGAGAAAGCAGGGGAUCUUCGGACCCUGCGCUAAUAGAUGAGCCUAAGUCGGAUUAGCUAGUUGGUGGGGUAAAGGCCUACCAAGGCGACGAUCUGUAGCGGGUCUGAGAGGAUGAUCCGCCACACUGGGACUGGGACACGGCCCAGACUCCUACGGGAGGCAGUAGUGGGGAAUAUUGGACAAUGGGGGGAACCCUGAUCCAGCCAUGCCGCGUGUGUGAAGAAGGCCUUAUGGUUGUAAAGCACUUUAAGCGAGGAGGAGGCUACUGAGACUAAUACUCUUGGAUAGUGGACGUUACUCGCAGAAUAAGCACCGGCUAACUCUGUGCCAGCAGCCGCCGUAACAC